rnacentral:rRNA from 1 species
UACAUAGGCCAUGAACGUUACCCGGUUUUAUUGGGCGUAAAGGGUGCGUAGGCGGUUUGGUAAGUUAUCGGUGAAAGUGGGGCUCAACCCCAUGGAAGCUGAUAAUACUGCCGAACUAGAGGAAAGGAGGGGUUGACGGAACUCCAUGUGAUUAGCGGUAAAGUGCAUAGAUAUAUGGAUGAACACCGAUAAGGCGAAGGCGGUCAACUAUCCUUAUCCUGACGCUGAGUGCACGAAAGCGUGUGGAGCGAACAGG